UCAGAAACUACAAAGGAAUUAGUACGGGGGCCCGGCGACAAGCGGUGGAGGUAUGUGGUUAAUUCGAUGCAACGCGAAGAACCUUACCUGGUCUUGACAUCCCGGAGACCCUUAGGAAACUAGGGGUGCUUCCAUCUGGAAGAAUCUGGAGACAGGUGCUGCAUGGCUGUCGUCAGCUCGUGUCGUGAGAUGUUGGGUUAAGUCCCGCAACGAGCGCAACCCUUGCCUUUAGUUGCCAGCAGUUCGGCUGGGCACUCUAAAGGGACUGCCGGUGUUAAACCGGAGGAAGGUGGGGAUGACGUCAAGUCCUCAUGGCCUUUAUGACCAGGGCUACACACGUACUACAAUGGCCGAUACAAAGGGCAGCGACACUGCGAGGUGAAGCCAAUCCCGUAAAAUCGGUCUCAGUCCGGAUUGGAGUCUGCAACUCGACUCCAUGAAGUUGGAAUCGCUAGUAAUCGUGAAUCAGAAUGUCACGGUGAAUACGUUCCCGGGCCUU
rnacentral:rRNA from 1 species